AUUUGAACCAUUUAAAAUCUCUGCAGAUUGUCCUGGAAGCAUACAUCACAAUGAAACAUCUAUUCAAGGAGAGCUCCUAUAACUCUGGCUCAUAACAUAUAGAAACGUGAUAUACUUAAGAACAGGACAAGAGAGGACAGUAGGAGCGAAGCUGCAUUGGAAUAAAGAAAUGACAGCAGAUGUUAACUUGAACCCCCAGGAAUACAUUAAGAGAACCUGAAACUCCUGGGUGACAGGGAGAGAUUCUGUCUGAAAACAACAACAACAACAACAACAACAACAGCAACAACAACAACAACAACAACAAAGCAGACAAUAACAAUCUAUGCUCUUCCAAGUCAG